GACGAACGCUGGCGGCGUGCUUAACACAUGCAAGUCGAACGAUGAAGCGGUGCUUGCACCGUGGAUUAGUGGCGAACGGGUGAGUAAUACGUGAGUGACCUACCUUUGACUCUGGGAUAAGCCUGGGAAACUGGGUCUAAUACCGGAUACGACCAAUCUCUGCAUGGGGUGUUGGUGGAAAGCGUUAUGGAGUGGUUUUAGAUGGGCUCACGGCCUAUCAGCUUGUUGGUGAGGUAAUGGCUUACCAAGGCGACGACGGGUAGCCGGCCUGAGAGGGUGACCGGCCACACUGGGACUGAGACACGGCCCAGUCUCCUACGGGAGGCAGCAGUGGGGAAUAUUGCACAAUGGGCGCAAGCCUGAUGCAGCGACGCCGCGUGAGGGAUGACGGCCUUCGGGUUGUAAACCUCUGUUAGCAUCGAAGAAGCGAAAGUGACGGUAGGUGCAGAGAAAGCGCCGGCUAACUACGUG
rnacentral:rRNA from 1 species